rnacentral:rRNA from 1 species
GUGAACGCUGGCGGUAGGCCUAACCCAUGCAAGUCGAACGGCAGCACAGUAAGAGCUUGCUCUUACGGGUGGCGAGUGGCGGACGGGUGAGGAAUACAUCGGAAUCUACUUUUUCGUGGGGGAUAACGUAGGGAAACUUACGCUAAUACCGCAUACGACCUACGGGUGAAAGCAGGGGAUCUUCGUACCUUGCGCGAUUGAAUGAGCCGAUGUCGGAUUAGCUAGUUGGCGGGGUAAAGGCCCACCAAGGCGACGAUCCGUAGCUGGUCUGAGAGGAUGAUCAGCCACACUGGAACUGAGACACGGUCCAGACUCCUACGGGAGGCAGCAGUGGGGAAUAUUGGACAAUGGGCGCAAGCCUGAUCCAGCCAUACCGCGUGGGUGAAGAAGGCCUUCGGGUUGUAAAGCCCUUUUGUUGGGAAAGAAAAGCAGCAGGUUAAUACCCCGCUGUUCUGACGGUACCCAAAGAAUAAGCACCGGCUAACUUCGUG